AAAAGAUGAAAAGAUUGUGGGAAAUAAUUACACUUUUAUUACAUCUAUUGCUCUUUGUGAUGAUUAUAUUAUAAGUGGCGACCUAAAUGGUAAUAUUAAACACUGGAGAAUUGAAUCAGAGAAGGAUGGAAGAAAUAAUCUUAAAUGUUCAGAAAUAGAAUUAAAUGAUGUAAAUACACAUAUUGAACACAUUGACGCAAAUGAUGUAAAUAAAUAUACUGAACACAUUGACGCAACAUCACAACACAUUAUAGCAGCUUCUAAGAAUUUAAUAAAGUUACUGAAAUAUACAGACGAUAAAACAGGUUGUACGAAAAAAAACGAAAUAUAUUGUGGAGUCGGCGAGGAAGGAUUUGAAAAC